rnacentral:lncRNA from 1 species
CUCCGGCCCGCCGCCGCCGAGCGCCGCCGCACCCGCGGAUAACACCUUCACGAAUCCAUUCCAUAAAAUGCAGAGAGCCGAUCGAGCCCUAGAUCCCCUCGCCGGCAAGGACCACCUCGAAGAUCGGGCGCCGGCCGAGACCCCGGGCAGCGGAGAUCCAGGGAGAAUCGCGGAAACCCUAACCCUAGAAGCGCCGGGGAUUCCACCGGCGAGGGCCUA